rnacentral:rRNA from 1 species
CGGAAGCAUUUGAAGUGACUUAGUGGCGGACGGGUGAGUAACGCGUGGGUAACCUGCCCUGUACUGGGGGACAACAGUUGGAAACGGCUGCUAAUACCGCAUAAGCGCACAGCAUCGCAUGGUGCAGUGUGAAAAACUCCGGUGGUACAGGAUGGACCCGCGUCUGAUUAGCUAGUUGGUGGGGUAACGGCCUACCAAGGCGACGAUCAGUAGCCGGCCUGAGAGGGUGAACGGCCACAUUGGGACUGAGACACGGCCCAGACUCCUACGGGAGGCAGCAGUGGGGAAUAUUGCACAAUGGGCGCAAGCCUGAUGCAGCGACGCCGCGUGAGUGAUGAAGUAUUUCGGUAUGUAAAGCUCUAUCAGCAGGGAAGAAAAUGACGGUACCUGACUAGGAAGCACCGGCUAAAUACGUGCCAGCAGCCGCGGUAAUACGUAUGGUGCAAGCGUUAUCCGGAUUUACUGGGUGUAAAGGGAGCGUAGGCGGCAUGGCAAGUCAGAUGUGAAAGCCCGGGGCCCAACCCCGGAACUGCAUUUGAAACUGUCAGGCUAGAGUACCGGAGAGGUAAGCGGAAUUCCUAGUGUAGCGGUGAAAUG